rnacentral:lncRNA from 1 species
UGAGCACCUGACUCAGCAUCCUGGGCCUCCAUUUCCCCACCUGCAAAAGUGGGGGUGCUCUUGCUCAUGCUCAGGGAAGGCACCAGAAGGGCAGUGCUGGGUGUGGACUGGGCCCAUAAACUCCAGUUGACCCAGGUCGACCCUGCAGCCCAGGCAGCCUGGUCUGGGAGCCGGGCCUGACCACUGAACUCACUGCCUCCCCGGCCAGGGGUCUUUCUAACACUUGCGUUGCAGCACCAAACCCCCAAACCAAUCAGAUGCUGGUGACAAAGGACCCUCUGAGACCACGCGUCCCGGGCUCAGGAUUAUCAGGAAAAAGGAAACAAUGAAGGGUUGGCCUUUCCAGAAGUGAGGGAAGAUGCUCCAGAGAGAGCGGCAGGGACGUCACUGUCACCCGCACCGACCCCACUGUGUGCUCAUCAUCCCAGGCCUUUCCCACCUCAGCUGCUCUUCUGGUCACUCAAGGUCCACAGGCCCAUCUGCUGCUGUUCCUGAGGGACGAGCCAGCCCUGUCCUGGCCUCCCCUCGGCUCCCAUGCCCUUGUCCGAGCGCUGACACGUGGAUGUCUUCCCUCCUGGUCCCCUUUGACCAGACGGGGCCGUCACCCGUCUCUGGCCUGCUUCCCCAGUCUCCAGCUUUGCCCGCCCUCGGGGCACCAGGGAGCUCGCCCCCAGCAGGCCUGGGAGGGAGAGUGGACCCCAGAGGACUGUGCUGGCGGAGCCCUGGCCCCUGAGGCGGGCCUGGCCCGCGACACAGGUCUUUAAAUAUGUGUCCAGUGAAUCAUGCAGCCCUUCCCUUGAGGAUUCGGUCAGUUCAACCUCAAAAAAAGCAAUGAGGAGCCCGUGUCUGUGGGCGUUUGUCCUGAGCUCCAGAAAAAACCUUCGGAAGAGAAGAUUCAGCGAGAGACUAAGCACCUGGGCUCCUCAGGCCGCGCCUUGCCCUGCGUCAUUCCUUGAGCAUCAGUCACUACCAAGCACUGGACGCUGCAGAGACACCAAACUGUGUGAAGGUCCCCAC